UGUGUCACACCCCAGUGUCUCUGAAGCACGUGUGUCACAGCCCAGUGUCUCUGAAGCACGUGUGUCACAGCCCAGUGUCUCUGAAGCACGUGUGUCACAGCCCAGUGUCUCUGAAGCACGUGUGUCACAGCCCAGUGUCUCUGAAGCACGUGUGUCACACCCCAGUGUCUAUGAAGCACGUGUCACACCCCAGUGUCCGCGGCACUGAGUGAAGAGCUCCGCUCAUGCUGCUGUGUGGACAAACUGGAGUUUGAAUAUACUUAAUAUUCUGGGAACUGCAUGGCCUAUAAAAGGCUCCGUCACAACUACUGGAGUUCAAGAAACUUCUGGUGCAUGUGCAGCACCCUCCAUCAUUGCCUCCUCCAAAGCACUUCAUUAUCUAGGCAAAGAACCAGCACUUCUGUUUCAUCCUGCAACUUCAUUGCACAGAGCCAUUUCCCCAAGUCUCAUACGCCCCCACAGCAGUCCCUGAAAGCUCAUCUCCUACCUUCUUGCAGCUGCUGCUGUUAUCACUGAGUCACUGACAAAUUGUAUCAUGGUGAAACACAAAUGUGUCAGCUCUACGAGCCUCUUUUACUGCCUUUCUGAGGACAGAGAAUAAGAUAUAUUAGACCCAUGGUAUUAACACAAGAAGAUGACAAAAAAGAA